rnacentral:rRNA from 1 species
UACAGAGGUCUCAAGCGUUGUUCGGAUUCAUUGGGCGUAAAGGGCGCGUAGGCGGCGGGGUAAGUCGGGUGUGAAAUCUCAGAGCUCAACUCUGAAACUGCACUCGAUACUGCUCUGCUUGAGGACUGGAGAGGAGACUGGAAUUCACGGUGUAGCAGUGAAAUGCGUAGAUAUCGUGAGGAACACCAGAGGCGAAGGCGGCUACCUGGACAAUUGCUGACGCUCAGGCACGAAAGCGUGGGGAGCAAAAGGG